CUCUUCUUUCUAUUUUCCUUUUUUGUUCUUAGGUGUGGUGUGGUACUGUUCUUCAAUCACCCUGAUUUUGUUUUCAAACCAAAUCUCACUCGUUCCUUCCUACCUGUGAUAAUCCUCUCUCUAGGGUUUGGUGGUUUCUCUCCCUCAAAUCUCAAUUGCAUUGACUCGAUUUUUUUAAUAAAAUAUUCUUGGCUCUGUUGUAUAAUAGAUUGUGGUGGACUACGUUUUGUUGAUUUUAGAUUUGUGGACGAUCCUAUGUUUGAUCGAUUGCACAGUGGGGUUUUGCUCUGUUGUUGAAUCUUUCUCUUCAUCAUCUGUUUUGACCAUCGAGAUUAAUGUGUGUGAGGGUUUCAGGAGAAGGAACAAAACAUUGUGAAAGUGAAUGGUUUGCAUAUGAAGCUAGAACCAUACAAGGAGAUUGUGUCUGCUGCUUUGUUUGGCAUUAUAACUCAGGAUGCAAGAGGGGCAGUAAUCUUGCUCAGCAAUUCAGAUAGGCUUCAGAUGUAGAGCUCUACCGACCUGGACCGUCUGAAGAAACUCAAAACUCCAGGACGUGAAUUUAUUGCAGCCAAGCUUGUGUGGCAAAUUUGACAUAGCAGGUGAGUUACAAGUCUGUGAUGGUGGACAACAUGAUUGACACAGCAGGUCUCUGUCUCUGAUUUUGCAAACCAAUUCUUUUUUAAGAUUGCUUAUGGACCGACGUGGUUAUAUAUUGGGAAGAGUACACUCUUAAAUCAUUACAACAUGAUGACAAAGUAACACGGACAUGCGACAGAUUGUGGAGGAUGCUUUGCUCGGAGGUUAAUGGUUCUGACGAUGGAUCGUUGUCUUCUCUGCGCUACAUCUUCAGACCAUCGAGAUAAAUGUGUGUGAGGGUUUGAAGAGAAGAAAAAACAUUGUGGAAGUGAAUGGUUUGCGUAUGAAGCUAGAACCAUAUAAGGAGAUUGCGUCUGCUGCUCAGGAUGCAAGCAAGGUUAUUGGUGGGAAGAGAGUUAUGACUGGAUUGCUUUAGGAAACCUCAUUGCUUGAUCCAUGUGAGGGGUAUACACUUUGUGGGGCUUGUCACGUGUUUGAUGUUAAUCGAUUGGUGUUUUGAUUAUUGUAAUCGAUCACUGUUGAUAAGGUACUUGGUGGAAUGGGAGGGAUGAUUGGAUUACGCUAGGAAACCUUAUUGCUUGUUCUUGCUGUCUACACACAUUCAGAUGAGAGAUCGAUGAUCCACAGAUUCUUUCCUACACGAAUCGUGGAGGCGAAUCUAUAUCUCUCUUUGAUGCAGAUCGUGGAGGCACGGAGGGGGACUGAUAUGAUAAAUUUCGUACCUUUAUGUGUGUGUUUUGAGUGCAUAACCACAGGCUUACAUCAUUGUCCGUGGUUAUGGUGGCUGGAAUUCUAGGUUUGCCUCCCAAAGUUUAUCUUGAACGUGAAGGAUGCCUUUUAUCUGUCGUCGUCUUCGGUCCCUGUUACCUCUUUGAAGAUCAUGAGGAACUAAGAUUACUGUGUGGGAGGUUCGAAGAGAAAGAAAAAACAUUGUGGGAUUGCGAUUGAUAUCUGAGUUCAGAGUGACAGAGAGAGAUGUUAUAAUGAGGUGACGGAAGAGCAAACAUUCAAACCUGAACAAGUCACUCGCAGAGAAGAGAGAUUAUUACAGUCAGAUAGCAACAGCUCGACUAAUCUGGGCAUUGCCUUUGGUUGGCUUUCUGAACGGUUUGAUCAAAUAUAUGUGUAAAAAUGUAACAAGUGAGACCGCUACAUCUGAUGAUUUGGUGAUUGCCAUUGGUGCUACUAACAAGCCACCGGAGUUGGAUGAUUCAGUGCUUAGAAGAUCGGUUUUGGAUGAUGCUUUUAUUUAUCAAUACUGAUGGCUUUGACUGAUCGUCCUCAGGCGUUCUCAUGGGUUCCUUGCUCUAAACGUUUUGGAUGAUGAUUUUAUCAAUCAGUGAUGGCUUUGCCUUUGACUGAUCUUCUUCAGGCGUUCUCAUGGGUUCCAAUUGGAAUGGAGUAUAUAGUAACUCACAACUAUAAGCUUGCGGACCAGAUCAUAUGAAAGAGUUUGUUCCUCCUCACUUUACAGUGUGCUUACCCCUGAAAUUUACAAAUGCUAUAUUAAUGAAAAAGCUACAUUGUAAAAUGGGGAGAAGGUAUGGUUAAGCUGUUCGGUGGUUUGAGAAGCUAUGAGAGAGCACUUACACGAUCUACUAUAAGCUUAUGCACUUAUUCAGGCUUGGCUUACACUUACCAUUUGCAAGGGGAAUUUCUCAGCUGGCCAUCUCAUACUAUCACAAGGUAUACACACUACAGUAUAUGAGAGAACUAUAAUUGUUUAUUGGUUUUCUUCUCUGUCAGAUGGUUCUAAUGGAUGAUGAUUGUCAAAAAGGGGCUGAUGCAAAGGUUGAGCUCUGCUAGAAAUUGGUCGGCCAGUGUUGUCUCCACCAUGUGUGGUUUUGGUCUCUGAUAUUAGGAGGUCCCUUGAGUAGUCCCCCGAACAGCUCUCCUGCAUCAUAGUAAAUCUCUGUUCUGAGAGAUUCAUCAAUUAACCUGUAGAGAACAUCUAGAAGUAAGUGAAUCCUGAUGCUAGCAGUGCACAGCCUCUGCCAAUUCCGAUAAAAAUCCAUUAGAUAAAAGACAUGAGUUGAGAAGAAAAAAGUGAGUAGUGUCUAAAAAGGCAAACAUGGAUGGAUACUACUUAACCUGAGAGACAAAAAUCUUGAGAAGUUCACAGCUGAGCCUUCAAAGCAUUUGCUUUGGCUACAAGAAAAACCAAUAACCAUAUAACCAUGUCUCAUCAUCUCCCAAUUUACAUGAGAAAGAAGUAUGAAACCAGAAGCAAGUCAGGUCUUCUUGGUUGUUCCCGGAGCAACUUGCACUAAAUGCAAUGCCUAAUUUAGCAUCACAAAAUGAAAUCUGCUGCACAAUAAUAUCGAAGAUCGUAGCAGUCUUUGUCACAGGAUCAACCUCAGACAGCAGCAGUAUCUAGAGUUAAGAAAUUACGACAAUGGGUUGGGUUCUAAUAUUGUGACAUGAAAUAGGUUCCGUUGGAGUAACGACAUCGCUCCCCUCUCCCUUUGUGUGUAUCGCAAUCAAUCGAGCAGAGAGAGAGAGAUCAAACAGAAAGGAUCAACAAAAGCGAGAAUUAAGCCAAAACCGAAAUUGAAAUCGGUUUUAAAUUUUCGGUUCGGAUUUAAACCGGGAUUGGGCAUAUGUAUUAUCGUCAGAUUUAGUUGUUUGAUGCUUAUAUGAUUCUAAUCAUCCAGAGCAGUGGAAGAGUAAUGUUCUUAAGAAAUUGGCUGCAAGCAGAAUGUACAAUAUAUGUUUUUUAAAACAGAUUUAUAACGACAUUAAUCAAAUGUUGAAGUGGGUUAA